rnacentral:rRNA from 1 species
GACGAACGCUGGCGGCGUGCUUAACACAUGCGAGUCGAACGGAAAGGCCCUGCUUUUGUGGGGUGCUCGAGUGGCGAACGGGUGAGUAACACGUGAGUAACCUGCCCUUGACUUUGGGAUAACUUCAGGAAACUGGGGCUAAUACCGGAUAGGAGCUCCUGCUGCAUGGUGGGGGUUGGAAAGUUUCGGCGGUUGGGGAUGGACUCGCGGCUUAUCAGCUUGUUGGUGGGGUAGUGGCUUACCAAGGCUUUGACGGGUAGCCGGCCUGAGAGGGUGACCGGCCACAUUGGGACUGAGAUACGGCCCAGACUCCUACGGGAGGCAGCAGUGGGGAAUAUUGCACAAUGGGCGGAAGCCUGAUGCAGCAACGCCGCGUGCGGGAUGACGGCCUUCGGGUUGUAAACCGCUUUCGCCUGUGUCGAAGCGUGAGUGACGGUAAUGGGUAAAGAAGCACCGGCUAACUACGUG